GUUUGUGUGACUGCAGAGGCAGGCAGGUUGGAGAGUCCACAGUGUGGGACUAUGCCAGGCACCAAACGAUAUCAGCAUGUGAUUGAGAUCCCUGAGCCUGGUGAAUGGGAGUUGUCAGUGUAUGAAGCAGCUGUGCCAAUCACAGAGAAGUCCAACCCACUGACCCGGAACUUGGACAAAGCAGAUGCAGAGAAAAUUGUUCAAUUGCUGGGACAGUGUGAUGCUGAGAUAUUCCAGGAGGAGGGACAAAUCAUGCCUACCUACCAGUUUUAAAAUUCAUUCAUCUGUUUUGUGAUGUGGAAGGAUUUGUUCUAUGGGGACAUGUGUGGAUGUCAGAGGACAACUUUUGGGAAUCAAUCUUUCCUUUCACCAUGUGGGUCCCAGGGAUUGAGCUCAGAUCAUCAGACUUGGCCACAAUCCCCUUAACUCACUGAGACAUCUCGCUGUCUUCCUCCAUCCUGAUUCCUGUCCAC